rnacentral:lncRNA from 1 species
ACAGAAGACGAAGAGCUGGAAUAGAGCUCGCCUCGGCUCUGCUGGCCUUGGCUGCAGCUCUUCCAGAAACCCGGGGCGCCCACAGAAGAAUCUCUUACCUGGCUCUCUCUUCAGGGAUGACAUCAUCGGCUCACACCAGUCUUCCAGGACCACCUUCUGGAUGCCAAGGCUGCUGCUCGAGUACCUGCUGUGCACCUCUACCUCCUGGUACCCCAGCCACUCCCUCAAGUUGCCUGCAUGUUAUAUGGCCUAGCCAAGGAGCACGGAUUCCAGGAACCCACUACCAUACAGAGCAACUCCUUGUGGACCCCCCUGGGAUCAGGACAGCGAGGGACAAGCGACAAAGAGGAUCAUCAGUGGCCAGCUAGUUUCUCUGGGGUUCAAACCUUGAACCAGUGCCCUAGUGAGGGGGCACUGGCCAUGGCCCUUGACCUUUGCUCUGCUUGUGUCUUGAGUCUGAGCCCUUUCCUGUACAUCUGUGCUCGUGUUCAUCUGCUAGUGAACUGGAGUGCUGCCCUCCCCGAGGAGGGUCGUCCCUUGUGACUGAUCAUGCUGUCCUAACAAUGUCCUGAGCAAAAGGGUCCCUUUGGGAACCUCUCAGGAGGGGGACCCGGGUCAGGGGCGACCAGCAUCUUGCUGGCAACUCCGUGGGUGGGGUGGGGUGGGGUGCUUCCUUCUGGAAUGAGCACGUGGCUGACCCCCCAAGGCAUGUCCCCUCCCCCUCCUCCACCCACCUUCUCGGAGAUGUCCCUUUUGGGGUAGUGGGGACAUUAGGAGCAACCUCCUAGGGUUGUUGUGAGAAUUAAAUGAACUGCAGCAGCCUGAGGCAGGGCUGGGCAGAGACCUCAGCACAUGUUUGUUGAAAGGUUUGCAGGUGGAUCUAGUCCUCCCGUUCAUGGCUCAUGUGUCUCAACCAUUCUCUCGCAGACUCCUGCAGCCCCUAUGCCCAGGGCUCUCCUUGCGCCAGAGGUAGGUGGGAAAGAGAACUGGGAGAGCCCGGACUCACUCAUGAGAUUGAACUUAAAUUCACACGGAGGACACUUGGACUCUUGCCACAUUAGCCCCGGCUUCUCGAGGCCUGUCUACACUCGCUGCUUUCCUUCCUCACCUCCAAUUUCCCCUCCAACCCACUGCUUCCUGACUCGCUCUUCUCCAUCGAACGGCUCUCGCUCAGGUUUAAGGCUUGGCUUGCUGGCCCUGGAGAUCCCGUCGCCGUCUUCGUCGAACUCGAAAUCCUAGCCAUCGUCCUUCCCUGGCCUGUCGCGUCUUCCUGUGCCAUUUGCUGUUGUGCUCAGGUUCCACGAGCUGCCCAUCUCCACAGAAGAGCAGCUGGCAUUGCCCACCGGCCAUGCCGGCUGAAGAAAAGAAGACUGAGGACCCCAGGAUGCCCAGCGCGAGGACCCCAGGAAGCCCAGCGCGAGGACUCCACCCACGACGCCCAGCGCGAGGACUUCACGCACAACACGUUGCAACCCUCCUGGAUUAGGCCUCUACAGCCACGGGGACGCCUUGCACAUUUCCUGUGGGACAUGCUGGACCCAAGACUCUGGACCCUGGCCUCCCCUUGAGUAGAGAGACCCACCUACUGACUGAUGAACUGCGCUGACCCUGGGGUCAGGCAUGUGGCCUUGAUCCCUACCCAUGGACCCUGAGACUUGGGGGGGUGGGAGAAAGGCUGUUGUGUCUUCACUGUUGAGUCUACAUCUGUGAAAUGGGCUCAGGUUCCUACCUCACAGGGCUGUUGUGAGGCAGCCGCAAUGUGCUUAGAAGCAUGGGGCCUAGUGGCUCAUGGUGCUUUCAAUAAAUUUCUUGUUUUAAC